rnacentral:rRNA from 1 species
ACAAGGUCCCUUCGGGGGAGUUGAGACAGGUGGUGCAUGGUUGUCGUCAGCUCGUGUCGUGAGAUGUUGGGUUAAGUCCCGCAACGAGCGCAACCCUUAUGAUCAGUUACUAACGGGUAGUGCCGAGGACUCUGAUAAGACUGCCGGGGACAACUCGGAGGAAGGUGGGGACGACGUCAAAUCAUCAUGCCCCUUAUGACCUGGGCUACAGACGUGCUACAAUGGCGACUACAAAGAGGUGCAAGACCGUAAGGUUAAGCGGAUCUCAAAAAAAGUCGUCCCAGUUCGGACUGUGGGCUGCAACCCGCCCACACGAAGUUGGAGUUGCUAGUAAUCGCGGAUCAGCAUGCCGCGGUGAAUACGUUCCCGGGCCUUGUACACACCGCCCGUCACACCAUGGGAGUUGGGAGCACCCGAAG